rnacentral:rRNA from 1 species
GACGAACGCUGGCGGCGUGCUUAACACAUGCAAGUCGAACGUGAUUUUUGUGGCAAUUCUUUCGGGAAUGGAAAUGAAAUGAAAGUGGCGAACGGGUGAGUAACACGUGAGCAACCUACCUUACACAGGGGGAUAGCCGUUGGAAACGACGAUUAAUACCGCAUGAGACCACAGAAUCGCAUGAUAUAGGGGUCAAAGAUUUAUCGGUGUAAGAAGGGCUCGCGUCUGAUUAGCUAGUUGGAAGGGUAAAGGCCUACCAAGGCGACGAUCAGUAGCCGGUCUGAGAGGAUGAACGGCCACAUUGGAACUGAGACACGGUCCAAACUCCUACGGGAGGCAGCAGUGGGGAAUAUUGCACAAUGGGGGGAACCCUGAUGCAGCGACGCCGCGUGAGCGAAGAAGGUUUUCGAAUCGUAAAGCUCUGUCCUAUGAGAAGAUAAUGACGGUAUCAUAGGAGGAAACCCCGGCUAAAUACGU